UACGUAGGGACCGAGCGUUGUCCGGAUUCAUUGGGCGUAAAGAGCUCGUAGGCGGCUGUUCAAGUCGAACGUGAAAACUCGGAGCUCAACUCCGAGCCUGCGUUCGAUACUGGACGGCUAGAGUCUGGUAGGGGGAUCUGGAAUUCCUGGUGUAGCGGUGAAAUGCGCAGAUAUCAGGAGGAACACCGGUGGCGAAGGCGGGUCUCUGGGCCAUUACUGACGCUGAGGAGCGAAAGCGUGGGGAGCGAACAGG
rnacentral:rRNA from 1 species